rnacentral:lncRNA from 10 species
AUCUUUGACUUAAAUAUGACAAUAUAAUAUAAAUUCUGAUUAAAAUUUUGCAACCUUCUUUAAUACCUUCUUACAUAUAAUCUACUUUCAUGUAGUUGCAAAAACGGCUAUAGUCAUGUGUCAUAUAAAGACAUUUCAGUCCAUGUUGGAUUGCAGAUAGGACAGUGGUCCCAUGAGGCUAUAAUGAAGCUGAAUAAUUCUUAUCUCGCCCCAGUUAAAAUGGCUUUUAUCAAAAAGGCAGGAAAUAAGGGGUGCUGGUGAGGAUAUGAAGACAGGGGGAUACUUGUACACUGUUGGUAGGAAACUUGAUUGGAUUGAAGGAUGCCUAAAUAGCCGUAUUGGGUCUGACUAUGUCUGUGAGGGUGUUGCCACAGGAGAUUAACAUUUGAGUUACUGGACUGGGAGAGGAAGACUCACCCUCAAUGUGGGUGGGCACCACCCAAUCAGCUGCCAGUGCAGCUAGAACAAAGCUGGCAGAAGGUGGGAGAAGAGGGCUUGCUGAGUCUUCUGGCUUUCAUCUUUCUCCCAUGCUGGAUGCUUCCAUCCCUUAUUCCUGCCCUUGGACAUCAGACUCCAGGUUCUUUGGCCUUUGGACUCUUGGACUUACACCAGUGAUUUGCCGGGGGGCUCUUGGGCCUUGAAGCUGCACUGUUUGAUUCCCUAUUUCUGAGGCUUUUGGACUCGGACUGAGCCAUUACUGGCUUCUUUCCUCCUCAGCUUGCAGAUGGCCUAUUGUGGGACUUCACCUUGGGAUUUUUUGAGUCAAUUCUUCAUAAUAAGCUCCCCUUCAUAUAUGCAUAUAUCCUAUUAGUUCUGUCCCUUUGGAGAACCCUAAUAUACACUGAUUUGAUCUUUAUAAAUUAUAUGAAAGUAUGAUAUUACCCCAUAUACCCCAGAAUUAUGUACAUCUAUUAUGUCAAUAAAAAAUUAAUUAAAAAUUUUCAAACUCUUCUUGCAAUAAAAAUAAUCAACUGUCAAUUUUCUCUAUGUCUUAUUUGAUGUAUGCCCCCUAUAGUUAUGUGACCUUGGACAGAUCCCAUAAUCACCUUAGACUAUAUCACAAUUAUAUCACAAAUAAUAUAUUAUUUAUUUGUGAAAUAUCACAUUUGAUCACUAGAUGAUGUCUAAAGCCACUCUGUCAAUGAACAUCUACAGUUCCAUGAGUUUAUAUUCUGCUUUCCUUCAUAGCAAUUCCUGUAAUUUGUAAUAAUCCAUCCUGUUAUUGUUGCUUUUUGAAGUCUCUCUCUCUUCAUACUAGAUUAUAAACUCCAUGAGGGCAGAGACCAUCUCUGCCUUUUUUACCACUAUUAGCUCAGUAUCCAGUAGAAUGUCUUAGAUGUAAUUAGGCAAAUAAAGUUUUUAUUUGUUUGUUUGGCUUUUAUUACAAAUGUUACAUAUGCCUUUGGUUUUAAUGAAACAUCAUCUAGAUUAAUAGCUUUAAACAGGCAUGACCUUGCUUUUGUCCAAGCUCAAAUGUCUGUGUGCAUGUCUAGACAUAACACAUAAUAUGUAUUCUAUAUGUAUACAUUUUCCUUGAAUUGGAAAUAUGCUUUGGUGUUGAUAGUUUAAAAUCUAUGCAAAUCAUUCUAUCAAAUCAUUGUAAAUUAAAAAAAACUACUAAGCUCAUAUGUCUGGCAUGCUAAAACAUGUAAAGUUUUAUGAGUUGAACAGAGGGUAGUAAUUCAGUGAUGGGUACAUAUUUUUAGAUGAUUUUUGUAGCUCAAAAUUGAUAUGAAACAAAAUAUUACUAAUGAUAGUUGAAUUUUUAAGCAGUUCCGCCUUUUGCCUCUAGAUGUCUCACCUGGAAUUCCCAUUGUAUAAUAGAAGAUCUUCUGAUGCAACACCCCACUAUAGGGCUUGGCUGAAAUGUCAUCUUGGGAACUCAAAGAGUAAACCAUGUGAAUUUAACUGCAAUUGGGUCAAAACAUUCCAUCAGUAUUUUUUUAACUUUCUGGAAAAAUGCAAAUAACAGAUGGUGGGAGAAUAGGCAGAUUUAUGAGAAAAGUGACUUUGUAUUAGUCAUUCUGAUGAGCCACAUCCCAAGGAGCCCUGCCUUUUUGGCUAUGAUGAACAGUUUCCAGGUGUAACCCCUGGUGUUGGGAAAGUAAUAUUUAAGACAAUGGCCAUCAGCCCAUCUUAAAAGCUUUUUUUCCACUUCAAACAUAAUUUAUAUCAUUUAUAUCCCAGUUGGUGAGGUAUGGAAUUCAACAUAUUAAUAUAUGACUUUAGGAUAUGACUUAUGUAAGAAAAGUAAUAAUUUUACCCUAAAAAAGAAAAUAUUCUAUGAGUUCAACCAAAAACAAAGUAACAGUUUUAUUUCUUGAGAGGAUAGGAAACAUUUUGGCAAUGGGCAGAAACAGGAGUUUAUUAAAAUUUGUGAACAUACGUAAUGAGACAUAAUUCUCUUGUAAAUAUCCCUAUUAGUAAAAAUGUUUCCCAAUACCAUAUGUUAUAUAGAUUGAUAUAUACUAUAUGUGCUAAUACUAUGAUAAUAUUUAGUCUAUAAGAGAAAAGUGAAAAACAAAAAAAAAACAGAUGGCCUGAAAUGGAUUAGAAGUAAUAUUCUGUUUCAGGUGACAUUCAAACUACUUCAAAGUGGUGUAGAAUAUAUUCUAUUUGGGUGUCUUUAGAUAUGCUGAGCUUCUACCACAAAAUCUACAUUUCUCUAAAGUAAGGAAGAAAGGGAUACCUUUUCAUCCCUGAAAUAGUUCUGGCCAAAACAGACAAUUAGUAUUUAUUUGUUGAGAAAAAUGAAUGAAUGAAUGAAAGGGGAGCAGAAUCUGAUUAUUUUCUUGCAUAUUUACUAAAUAAAUGCUUGCUUUCUUUGUAGUUCUUAAAAUUAUACUAGGCUUAAGUUUCUAUGUUUUUUAAAUUUCGUUUGUUUUAUUUCAAUUUUUAAUUAUUUUAAUUUUUGGCAAAACGUAUGAUUCUCAAAAUAUGUCGUAUAACUAAUCACGUUGAUAGAUAAAAAAUAACCACAAGCAAGCAACCACACAAACAAGCAGUGUGCCCCACUUUCCAUCUGCUUUUGUUUUAUUUUCACGAGUUAUCUUUUUUUUUAGUUGAUUCUAGUCAGUUUGGGUCACUUAAGUUACAUGUAACAAAUACUGUAUGUCACUUUUAUAUUUAAAUAUAUUUUCAAAGAAUCAUCGCUAACUACUUAAUCAUCUCUGAAUUUCGGAGCCUGGCAUGGAAAUCUCUCCCCAAACUAGUUUCAUCCUCCUUAUCUAGUAUUUUCUUCCACACUAACAAUUGAAAAAACAAGCUAAGGUCUCUCCGCCUAAUUACCUACUGUGGUAAAUAAUUGUUCAAUUCAAUUAUUACCUACUUACUUCAUAUGCUUGUUCUGGUUCACUCAGGUAGAUGUGAUCAAAUCUAUUCCUACUUAAGAAAAUUGAAGGACCAUUAUUUGCCUAAGGUCUUAACCGUCUGCCUAGACUUUAAAGUCACUGAGGUUAGCAACUGUGACUUAUUCCUAGAAACACUGUUUGGCCUUCAACAAAAGUUGGUAAAAGUAAAUUGAAUUCCAUUUGCCAAUCUACCAGUUAAAGAGAGACAUAUGACUGACAUUAUCAGUGGAAGGAGUAAUGGUACAGGUCUAAUAAGCUCUUAAUGAGAAGUAGAAUGUCAGUGAUAAGAGAGAAAGAGAGGCACAGAGAGAAGUUUGUGAAAAAAGAGAGAUGAGAGAGAGUUACAAGAGGAAAAGAGGAACAGAGGGACAAAGAGGAAUGGAAUGAGCAGCAAAAAGGAUAACUGGGCUUCUCCCUUACCCCUGAAUAGUAUUGUGUCUGGUAUCUUCUGUCUCAGCUCUCUCUCAUCUUUCGUAUUUUGUAUAAUGGCGACGUUUGGGCUUCCAGUGAACCCAUCGCCCAAUAGUGAACCGACUUCUUCUUAGAAGUUCACUGGGAACCAAUCAGCCUUUAAAGUCUUUGGACCAGGGAUCAGCCCCUGCUCUGCAGGUCCGGAGAAGAGAGGAGGGUGAGACAACUACCUCACCCUGUGUCCCUUCCCUUGCACAAUUUGAUAUUCUAGUAGCUUCAAAGGUCCUUUUCUCCCAAAUAGUAUCCACU